GACGAAGUGGCGGACGGGUGAGUAAUGUCUGGGAAACUGCCCGAUGGAGGGGGAUAACUACUGGAAACGGUAGCUAAUACCGCAUAACGUCUUCGGACCAAAGUGGGGGACCUUCGGGCCUCACACCAUCGGAUGUGCCCAGAUGGGAUUAGCUAGUAGGUGGGGUAACGGCUCACCUAGGCGACGAUCCCUAGCUGGUCUGAGAGGAUGACCAGCCACACUGGAACUGAGACACGGUCCAGACUCCUACGGGAGGCAGCAGUGGGGAAUAUUGCACAAUGGGCGCAAGCCUGAUGCAGCCAUGCCGCGUGUAUGAAGAAGGCCUUCGGGUUGUAAAGUACUUUCAGUGGGGAGGAAGGCGAAGAGGUUAAUAGCCUCUUCGAUUGACGUUACCCGCAGAAGAA
rnacentral:rRNA from 1 species